rnacentral:rRNA from 1 species
UACAGAGGUGGCAAGCGUUGUUCGGAAUUACUGGGCGUAAAGGGCGCGUAGGCGGCCCUCUAAGUCAGACGUGAAAUCCCCCGGCUUAACCUGGGAACUGCGUCUGAUACUGGGGGGCUAGAGUUUGGGAGAGGGAUGUAGAAUUCCAGGUGUAGCGGUGAAAUGCGUAGAUAUCUGGAGGAAUACCGGUGGCGAAGGCGGCAUCCUGGACCAAUACUGACGCUGAGGAGCGAAAGCUAGGGGAGCAAACGGG